UACGUAGGGGGCUAGCGUUGUCCGGAUUUAUUGGGCGUAAAGAGCGUGUAGGCGGCCAGAUAGGUCUGCUGUGAAAACUCGAGGCUCAACCUCGAGAUGUCGGCGGAAACCAUUUGGCUAGAGUCCGGAAGAGGAAAGUGGAAUUCCUGGUGUAGCGGUGAAAUGCGCAGAUAUCAGGAAGAACACCCGUGGCGAAGGCGGCUUUCUGGGACGGUACUGACGCUGAGGCACGAAAGCGUGGGGAGCGAACCGG
rnacentral:rRNA from 1 species